UAUGCUCUCUACAGUUUCUUUUUGGAGACAGAGGAGGUGGGGGAAUACAUAAGAUCUAACUAUAUAUCCUGAAAUCACUAGGUGAUUACUAGUCUACUUCAAACAAAUUUCCAAGGACAGCAGCUCAUCAUUAUUCAAAAUGUCAUGAAAUCCUUUGCCUUUCAUGAAGUGGUCCAGCUCAAGCACUGCAGAAUCACUGUCAGUAUUUCAGAGUAUUAAUGCUUCAAAGUCAGAAUGAUCUCAUCUACUGCAUUUUUUUUUCAUUCUACACAUGAGAAACAGGCUCAUACAGCAAGAGACAAAUGGAAGGUGAUUUGCUCAGGUCAUCAAGCUUGAUUCCAAGAGCUCUCCCUAUUGCUUGACUCCACCACUACCACCCCUACUCAGCUGACACAAACCACUCUGCAUGCUGCAGCCUGCAAUGGUCAUGGACUUUUGUAUUGUGAGUUUCUGAUGCUUCUCUCAGUCUAUACACUACCUACACCUAGUGGGAGGAACUUGACAUGAACAUACAGAGAAUUGGCCUAACCUUUCAAAUACUAUAUAGCCCAUCAUAAAAUUCCUUACCAACAUUUCCUUAUUUACAAAGUAAAACUCUGUUGCUUAGCAUUGAUCUUUUAAUAUUAUAUUAAAUAUAAUUCAUCUGAA